rnacentral:rRNA from 1 species
GACGAACGCUGGCGGCGUGCCUAAUACAUGCAAGUAGAACGCUGAAGGAGGAGCUUGCUUCUCUGGAUGAGUUGCGAACGGGUGAGUAACGCGUAGGUAACCUGCCUGGUAGCGGGGGAUAACUAUUGGAAACGAUAGCUAAUACCGCAUAAUAGUAGAUGUUGCAUGACAUUUGCUUAAAAGGUGCAAUUGCAUCACUACCAGAUGGACCUGCGUUGUAUUAGCUAGUUGGUGGGGUAACGGCUCACCAAGGCGACGAUACAUAGCCGACCUGAGAGGGGGAUCGGCCACACUGGGACUGAGACACGGCCCAGACUCCUACGGGGGGCAGCAGUAGGGAAUCUUCGGCAAUGGACGGAAGUCUGACCGAGCAACGCCGCGUGAGUGAAGAAGGGUUUCGGAUCGGAAAGCUCUGUUGUAAGAGAAGAACGAGUGUGAGAGUGGAAAGUUCACACUGUGACGGUAUCUUACCAGAAAGGGACAGCUAACUACGUG